AGUGUGGGGGGAGGGUCCCUCAGCUGGGAUUGCAAGAGGGCGCAGGCCAGGCUGAGGGACCCCAUCUGUGCACG
rnacentral:pre_miRNA from 1 species